AGAACGAACGCUGGCGGCAUGCCUAACACAUGCAAGUCGAACGAGACCUUCGGGUCUAGUGGCGCACGGGUGCGUAACGCGUGGGAAUCCGCCCUUGGGUUCGGGAUAACAGUUGGAAACGACUGCUAAUACCGGAUGAUGACUUCGGUCCAAAGAUUUAUCGCCCAGGGAUGAGCCCGCGUAGGAUUAGCUAGUUGGUGAGGUAAAGGCUCACCAAGGCGACGAUCCUUAGCUGGUCUGAGAGGAUGAUCAGCCACACUGGGACUGAGACACGGCCCAGACUCCUACGGGAGGCAGCAGUGGGGAAUAUUGGACAAUGGGCGAAAGCCUGAUCCAGCAAUGCCGCGUGAGUGAUGAAGGCCUUAGGUGUAAAGCUCUUUACCGGGAUGAUAAUGACAGUACCGGAGAAUAAGCCCCGGCUAACUCCGCGCCAGCACGCCGAC
rnacentral:rRNA from 1 species